rnacentral:rRNA from 1 species
CGGGAAUGCCACGCUGAUGCGAUUUCGGUCAAAUCAUGUGGCAUUCGAGUGGCGGACGGGUGAGUAACGCGUGGGUAACCUGCCUUACACAGGGGGAUAACACCUGGAAACAGGUGCUAAUACCGCAUAAGCGCACAGGGCCGCAUGGCCCGGUGUGAAAAACUCCGGUGGUGUAAGAUGGACCCGCGUCUGAUUAGCUUGUUGGCGGGGUAGGGGCCCACCAAGGCGACGAUCAGUAGCCGGCCUGAGAGGGUGGACGGCCACAUUGGGACUGAGACACGGCCCAAACUCCUACGGGAGGCAGCAGUGGGGGAUAUUGGACAAUGGGGGAAACCCUGAUCCAGCGACGCCGCGUGAGUGAAGAAGUAUUUCGGUAUGUAAAGCUCUGUCAGCAGGGAAGAAAGAAAUGACGGUACCUGACCAAGAAGCCCCGGCUAACUACGUGCCAGCAGCCGCGGUAAUACGUAGGGGGCAAGCGUUAUCCGGAAUUACUGGGUGUAAAGGGAGCGUAGACGGUGAUGCAAGUCUGGAGUGAAAGGCGGGGGCCCAACCCCCGGACUGCUCUGGAAACUGUGUAACUUGAGUGCAGGAGAGGUAAGCGGAAUUCCUAGUGUAGCGGUGAAAUGCGUAGAUAUUAGGAGGAACACCAGUGGCGAAGGCGGCUUACUGGACUGUAACUGACGUUGAGGCUCGAAAGCGUGGGGAGCAAACAGGAUUAGAUACCCUGGUAGUCCACGCCGUAAACGAUGAUUACUAGGUGUCGGUGGGUAUGGACCCACCGGUGCCGCAGCAAACGCAGUAAGUAAUCCACCUGGGGAGUACGUUCGCAAGAAUGAAACUC